rnacentral:rRNA from 1 species
UUUUAUGGGGUGACUGCGUACCUUUUGUAUAAUGGGUCAGCGACUUAUAUUCUGUAGCAAGGUUAACCGAAUAGGGGAGCCGGAGGGAAACCGAGUCUUAAUUGGGCGUUAAGUUGCAGGGUAUAGACCCGAAACCCGGUGAUCUAGCCAUGGGCAGGUUGAAGGUUGGGUAACACUAACUGGAGGACCGAACCGACUAAUGUUGAAAAAUUAGCGGAUGACCUGUGGCUGGGGGUGAAAGGCCAAUCAAACCGGGAGAUAGCUGGUUCUCCCCGAAAGCUAUUUAGGUAGCGCCUCGUGAAUUCAUCUCCGGGGGUAGAGCACUGUUUCGGCUAGGGGGCCAUCCCGGCUUACCAACCCGAUGCAAACUGCGAAUACCGGAGAAUGUUAUCACGGGAGACACACGGCGGGUGCUAACGUCCGUCGUGAAGAGGGAAACAACCCAGACCGCCAGCUAAGGUCCCAAAGUCAUGGUUAAGUGGGAAACGAUGUGGGAAGGCCCAGACAGCCAGGAUGUUGGCUUAGAAGCAGCCAUCAUUUAAAGAAAGCGUAAUAGCUCACUGGUCGAGUCGGCCUGCGCGGAAGAUGUAACGGGGCUAAACCAUGCACCGAAGCUGCGGCAGCGACGCUUAUGCGUUGUUGGGUAGGGGAGCGUUCUGUAAGCCUGCGAAGGUGGCCUGUGAGGGUUGCUGGAGGUAUCAGAAGUGCGAAUGCUGACAUAAGUAACGAUAAAGCGGGUGAAAAGCCCGCUCGCCGGAAGACCAAGGGUUCCUGUCCAACGUUAAUCGGGGCAGGGUGAGUCGACCCCUAAGGCGAGGCCGAAAGGCGUAGUCGAUGGGAAACGGGUUAAUAUUCCCGUACUUGGUGUUACUGCGAAGGGGGGACGGAGAAGGCUAUGUUGGCCGGGCGACGGUUGUCCCGGUUUAAGCGUGUAGGUGUGUGUUCCAGGUAAAUCCGGUUCACUUUAACACUGAGGCGUGACGACGAGGCACUACGGUGCUGAAGCAACAAAUGCCCUGCUUCCAGGAAAAGCCUCUAAGCAUCAGGUAACAUCAAAUCGUACCCCAAACCGACACAGGUGGUCAGGUAGAGAAUACCAAGGCGCUUGAGAGAACUCGGGUGAAGGAACUAGGCAAAAUGGUGCCGUAACUUCGGGAGAAGGCACGCUGACACGUAGGUGAAGUGAUUUACUCAUGGAGCUGAAGUCAGUCGAAGAUACCAGCUGGCUGCAACUGUUUAUUAAAAACACAGCACUGUGCAAACACGAAAGUGGACGUAUACGGUGUGACGCCUGCCCGGUGCCGGAAGGUUAAUUGAUGGGGUCAGCGCAAGCGAAGCUCCUGAUCGAAGCCCCGGUAAACGGCGGCCGUAACUAUAACGGUCCUAAGGUAGCGAAAUUCCUUGUCGGGUAAGUUCCGACCUGCACGAAUGGCGUAAUGAUGGCCAGGCUGUCUCCACCCGAGACUCAGUGAAAUUGAACUCGCUGUGAAGAUGCAGUGUACCCGCGGCAAGACGGAAAGACCCCGUGAACCUUUACUAUAGCUUGACACUGAACAUUGAGCCUUGAUGUGUAGGAUAGGUGGGAGGCUUUGAAGCGUGGACGCCAGUCUGCGUGGAGCCGACCUUGAAAUACCACCCUUUAAUGUUUGAUGUUCUAACGUGGACCCGUUA